GUGUGUUCAUGGAGGUGUGUGUUCAUGGAGGUGCAUGCUCAUGGAGGUGCGUGUUCAUGGAGGUGCGUGUUCAUGGAGGUGCGUGUUCAUGGAGGUGCGUGUUCAUGGAGGUGCGUGUUCAUGGAGGUGUGUGUUCAUGGAGGUGUGUGUUCAUGGAGGUGCGUGUUCAUGGAGGUGCGUGUUCAUGGAGGUGCAUGCUCAUGGAGGUGCGUGUUCAUGGAGGUGCGUGUUCAUGGAGGUGCGUGU